rnacentral:lncRNA from 1 species
GAAGCUUCUAAUUCUUGCUCCAUGUUGUUUCUUCUUCAUAGCUUUAAUAAAGUUACUUUAUGAUUAUCUAUGGAUACCUCUCCGUAUUCAGCAUAUGCUGAAUUCACAGGGGAUCAAAGGACCUCCUUACAGAUUCAUCCAUGGCAACAACAAGGAAGUUACCAAAAUGAAACAAAAAGCUUUAAGUAAAUCUGUGGGCUUGACAGAUGAUUUAUUUCCCAAAGUACAGCCACAUAUUUACACCUGGACCAACAGAUAUGGUAAGAUCCAUGCUUGUUUUUUUCACUAUGAUUUAUAACUUGUAGUUCUAAGAAAAGGUAGAGACCCUUUUUCUUUUUAUGUUACUAGGGAAGAAUUUUGUUUAUUGGAACGGUGCUCGAGCUGAAUUGGUGAUUUCAGAGCCUGAAUUAGUCAAAGAGGUUCUGAGAAAUAGUGAACAAAUUUUUCAGAAAAAGAAACUUACAGAUAUUGGUAGGAAGUUCUUGGGGAAUGGGCUUAUAUUCAUUGAGGGGGAAAAAUGGGCAAAGCACCGAAAGCUGGCCAAUCACACUUUCCAUGGGGAAAGCCUAAAGGUAAGUCUUCCAAAUAUAUAAACUAGGUGUAAUUAAUUUACAAGAAUUAUACAUAGACUAAAAUAUUUUGGUAAAAUUUUGUAUUGUUAGCUAAGGAUAAGUUUAUUAUCGACGUUGAAAAAGUAUAGUAAAAAAGUACUUUUUAAAAAUUUAACACCGUUUACUAAGAGGUGAAUUUUAGAUUUAAUGUUGUAAAAUAAAAGAUUGAAUCAGAUAUUUAAAAAACACUCAUUUAGCUUUUUGAUUUGGAUUAAAAUUUAGUUUGAAAAAAGAUUUAGUUCUAUAAGGUGUUUUUGUCAAAUUUUUUAAUUUGAAAUCAUGAUUUUGUGUUGAAUAAUGUGUUUUUCAGACUCCAAUUAUAUAUGUCACUACUGCUUACAUAUUGGAGGAUUCUUUGGGCAGAACAUGACUCCAGCAAUAAUUGCUAGUGUUGAAACAAUGCUAGAAAAGUGGAAUGCCCAAGAAGGCAAAGAGAUUGAAGUGUACCAAGAAUUUAGGUUAUUAACUUCAGAAGUGAUUUCCAGAACAGCAUUUGGUAGCAAUUACAUGGAAGGGGAGAAGAUAUUUGCCAUGUUGAGCAAGUUGACAGUAAUUAUGAGUCGAAAUCUUUCCAAGACUAGAAUUCCUUUGAUCAGGUAUCUUCCCUCUAAGCUUAAUUAAUCCCAACUUUCACCUUGAUUUCAACUAGCUUUUGAAUGCAACUUUUGGACUUUCAUUCCCCAUGGAUUUGGUUUUCUCCUUAUAUAUAGCUGACCAUGGUUUGCUUUUGCAGCAAGUUGUGGAAAUCUGCUGAUUUGCUAGAGUCUGAAAAACUUUCAAAAGAAAUAAAAGAUCGUGUGCUGAAGAUUGUUAAGAAAAGAGAAGACAAAGUUGUGAAUGGAGAAGUCAAUAGCUUACGCAGUGAUUUUCUUGGAUUACUUCUAAAUGCCUAUCAUGAUUCGGAUGAGAAAAACAGGCUUUCAUUGGAAGACUUGGUAGCUGAAUGCAAAACAUUCUAUUUUGCUGGACAAGAAACUGUUAAUUCCUUACUUGCAUGGAUAGUCUUGCAUUUGGCAAUCCACGGAGAUUGGCAAGAAAAAGCGAGAAGAGAGGUGAUUGACAUAUUUGGUAACCAAAAUCCACAUCUUGAAGGCAUCGCCAAACUCAAAAUAGUAAGAAAACUAACAUGGAAUUCAAAUAGCCAUCAACAUUAUGCAAUCUAACAUAUUUGUCUAUUUCCUAAACAGAUGACCAUGAUCAUCAAUGAAACUCUAAGAUUGUAUGGUCCAUCAAAUGGCCUUCCAAGAGCAGUUACAAGAGAAGUUCAGUUGGGAAAACUACUCUUGCCUGCUAAUAUAGAUAUUCUGCCUUUAAAUAUUGGACUUCACCGUGACCCUCACAUUUGGGGAGAUGAUGUGCAUCAUUUUAAACCCGAGAGAUUCGCUAAAGGGAUUGCCAAAGCUACCAAUUACACCACAGCUGCAUUUUUUCCCUUCGGAUUGGGACCUCGAUCUUGCGUUGGUAUGACAUUUGCAACAAUAGAAGCAAAGGUUGCUCUCUCCAUGAUUCUACAACGUUACACCAUUGCCCUCUCCCCUGCCUAUGUCCACUCUCCAAUACCUAUUCUCACCCUUCGACCACAACAUGGAAUUCAGGUAAUACUUAAGCCGAUACAUAGUAAUGCUUGAAGUACGCAGCUGUUAAGAAAUAAGGGUUUAACAUGGUUCAUGUAUUUUAGGUUUAAAAGAUGACAUUUAAUAUGUAUAAGGUUCUAGCAUUUGCAACCCCUUCCCUAUCCUAUGGUAUGCCCACCUUCAUACAUAAUGAAAUACAAUGUAAAACACACAAUCAAUAAAGAAGAAUAUGUCGAGGCAAGUUUUGGGAGCAGUGACUCGAGAAAUGACAAUUGCAUUUGGCACGUGCAGGUCACAUAACUUCUCUUAUUUGUUAGCAUGUUUGAAAAAAAAAUAUUUUGAUUACUUGCUUGCAUCUUUUGGAGUAUUUUGUGCAUCCAAUCUUGUGUUUAUUAUUUGAUUAAUCUCGGAUUGAUUUUUCUUACACUAGUGGUUAUACUAAGGCUUGUUAGCGGAUUAAACUUUGUGCAAAGCACCAUAGAUGUAGAUGUGUUUUCCGUGAUGGGAUUUGAACCUACUAAAAAUAAAUUCCUACGCUUGAAACCAAAAUUAACUUUGUAGUAUAUAGAGUAGGGUUGAUCCCACAAAGGUUGAUCUAUCCAAAUCUGUUUUUCUUUAUAACUAGAACGUGUCCCGAGCAAUUUUUAUGCCCAUGACUUGUGCCAACCUGUACGAAAAAUAAAGGGGGAUUAAAUUUGAAAAAUAAUAAACAAUAAAAUAAAUUAAUAAUUAAAAUGAAGUAGAAAUAAGUAAAACGAAAUUAAAAUUGAAUAAAUCGAUAAAACAAAAGCUUUAGCUUCAAGCUUGAUUUUGACUCUGCCUUCAAAUUGAUCACGAAGAACGAACUUUUUUUCCUUCAAUUAAUAAGUCAAUUAUAGAUACCAAGGAACAACUUCAAACCACCUAAUUCUUUCAUAGUGGUAAAUUAGUUGCAGGAAUAGCUCGACAGCUAAGUCUUAUCAAGUGAAUAACCUUAAAAGCAACAUUCGUGAUUUAAUUCAUUGGUAGCCUUGCGAACAAGAAGAACAUGGCUCAAAUUAACGGCCUCAAUUGUAUGAGUCAUUUAAACUUAAUUAUGAACUUCCUUGAUGGAUCCAACUACUCACGCCAUUCGUCAUGCCAAUUUGUUCUUCAGUGGAUCUAAUACAGCAAUUACGGAUCAUAUCGAUUCUCUAACUAAAUGUCGCUCAACACUAAACCAAGGGACUUUUCUUGAUUUUGAUGCUAAAAUAACAUUGAGAAGUGAUCGAGUUUAUCUUUUAAAUUAAAGAAUUAACGAAUACCGAAAUGGAGAAUAUAAACACGAUUUUGAAAUUCACUGUUCAAAUAUCGGAUCAUUUAUCAAUCUAAAACUAGGUUAAAUUUAACUUCUCAUAAAUUAAAAAACAAGAAAAGAAAAUAGUUGAAGGAGAAUAUUUAAUUGAAAUAAAAAAAAUCACUAAAAUAAAAUCAAAACAAUAGUUAAAUGAUGAGGUUGCUCUGAAACUGGAGUUACCAUUUUCGUUGGGGGAGAUAAAAGAGGCAGUGUGGAGUUGCGAUGAGUCGAAAGCAUCUGGGUCGGAUGGCUUUAGUAUGUGCUUUUUUAGAAAAUGUUGGGAUGUUAUAAAAGAACUUUUCAGAAUGAUGUUAGACUUUUUUAGUUCUAGAAAUCUUGAGAGAAGCAUCAAUUCUUCAUUUAUUGCACUUAUAUCCAAAACCAAAAAUCCAAAUAAAAUAUCAGAAUUUAGACCAAUUUUUUUGGUGAGCUCUAGAGGUGAUCAUGGGCCGGGCUGGGCUGGGUUCGGGCCGGGCCCAUAUAAAUUUUAGGCCCGUCUAAUAGGCCCGGGCCCGGCCCGAAAUAUGGGCCUAAAAUUUUGCCCAAGCCCGGCUCGAAAUAAAAUUACUAAGCCCGAGCUCGGCCCGGCACGGCCCAUAUUAAUUUUUUUAUUUCAUUAAAUAAAAAAUUUAAAAAUAUAAUAAAUCAAAUAUAUUUAAAAACAUAAAAACAAAUAUUAAAACAAAUAAAAAUAAUACUAAAACAAUUCUUAAAACAAUACACAAAUUAAUAAUAUAAUAAAAAAUAGUUAUAUUAAAAAUUUAAAAUAAUUAAAAAUAAAAUAAAAAAUAUAUAUUAAUAUAUAAUUCGGGCCGGACCCGGGCCAAAAAACUCUCACCCGAGGCCUGGCCCGUUUUCUAAACGGGCCUCGUUUUUUUACCCAAGCCCAUUUUUCGGGCCUAUAUUUUUACCCAAACCCUCCCAUUUUUCGGGCGGGCCUUCGGGCCGGGCCGGGCCGCCCAGCUCAUGAUCAGCUCUAGUGAGCUUGUUGUACAAGAUAGUGGAAAAGGUGUUAUCUCGAAGAAUUAGGGAGGUUGUUGGAGUGGUAGUGAGCGAAACACAAUAUGCAUUUAUCAAAGGUAGACAAAUAUUUGAUGGAAUUUUAAUUGUAAAUGAAAUUAUCCAUUCGAUUAAACAGAAAGAUGGUAUGGGGGCAAUCUAAUUUUUAAAUUGGAUUUUUCUAAAGCAUAUGAUUGUGUUUGUUGGGAUUUUUUGGAGUUAGGUUUACUCAAGAUGGGAUUUGGUGAGAAAUGGAUAGGAUAGAUUAUAGAGUGUGUAUCUAUGGCGAGAGUAGCAGUAAUUAUCAAUGGGUCAACCACAAAUGAAUUCAGAUUUCGCCGAGGUCUCCAUCAAAGAGAUCUAUUUUCUCUAUUUUUAUUUAUCCUAGUGACAGAAGUGCUACAUUUGUCGAUGGAUAAAGCAGUGGAGAUGGGGCUAAGAUGUUAUUCCCGUGCAGAUUUUUCUCAUUUACAAUUCGCAAAUGAUACUAUAUUAUUCUUGAGAGUGGAUGAAGAGGAGGUAAGAAAUACGAAGUAUAUUUUACGAUGUUUUAAGAUCUUUUCAAGUCUUAGUAUCAAUUUCAAAAAAUUGUGUUUAGUAGGAUUUGAUGUGAAUGAAGAACUCUUAUAUCUGAUGGCUAUAAUAUGCAAGUGUAAUAUAGGAUUUUUGCCUUUUAAUUAUCCAGGGAUUCCAUUAAGAGCAAAUUUGAGGAGAGUAUCCACUUGGAACGCAAUUAUAAAGAGAUUCAGGAAGAAAUUAUCAAGAUGGAAAUGUCGUACGCUCUCAUGGGCUUCAAGGAUUGUGUUGAUUAAUGUUGUUUUAUCUUCCUUGCUGAUUUAUUUCAUGUCAAUAUUCCAAGCUCCAGUGACAGUUAUUAAAAGGAUCGACAAGAUAAGGAGAAAUUUUCUUUGGAGGGAGUAUAAAUGGUAAAAGAAAGAUGGCGAAGGUAAGUUGGAAACAUAUAUGUAAGCCAAAGGAGAAACGAGGAGCAGGAGUGGUGAAUCUCAUAAUUAAAAAUAGAGGUUUAUUAGCAAAGUAUGGUUCGUGCCAGCAAUAGUGGCGCUUUAGGACGACUAAUCUAAAAGAUAUGUUGAUUAUAUGGAGAAGUAUUGUAGAAAAUUCUAAAGACGCUAAUGUUUCUAAAUGGGUGGGGAACGAAGCUUUUAGAUGGAUGGUUGGGAAUGGAAGGAUGGCAAUGUUUUGAGAGGAUAUUUGGUGCUGUAAUCGACCACUAAAAAUGGAAUUUCCUAGAGUGUUCCGCUUAGCAAGACAAAAGAAAGGUAUGGUAGCAGAAUACUUGAGCAACAAUGGUUUUAGUAAUGUGAAUUAGGGUGAAUUCAUUACACAAACAUUAUUAGAUAGAGAGGUGGUGAUGCUUCAUAGAUUGGAGGAUAUGGUGAGAAGCAUGGAGUUAGUUCUAGAGGUGGAAGAUCAGCUAAGUUGGGUGCAUGAUAGUAAUGAGGAGUUCUGUAACACCCCAAACCCGGCCCAGACGUUACGGUCGAAUCCGGCGUGUCACAUUGAAGCGUUACUGUAAAACUCAUGUUUUAUCUAAAAUCUUUCUUAGUGUUUAAAGAAUAUUUUCGUUAUAGGUUAAAGUGAAUAGAAGCUGUGCACCAAGUAGGAUGCCGGAAAAGAGGAGGUGAGUCUAUUAGACUGCUUAAGUACCAAGCUCUCCACGGAUCCACUCCUAGAAAUGUACACCACCAUUGCCACACUUUAACUGAGCGUUGUGUAGAAGAAACCAUUUCGUUUUAAUCCAUUUGAAAUCACUUAUUAAUUUUCGAAAACGUUUUCGUUGCGGAAGCUUUGUCUUGUUUCGCUAUAUUUUGAAAUCAGGUAAAUUUCUUUUAAAAACACAUCCUAGAGUUAUUCAAUUUCAAACAUUUAAAUCAACAUCAUGCCUAAGCUAACAAAACAUACUAAACAAUUAAAAAUAAUUAAAGCGGCCUUGUUACAAUUUAAACCCAAAAUAAUUAAAAUAAAUAAAAACUGAUUAAAUUAUAAGAAGAAAAUCAAGCUUGCAGUGCUUAUGGCCACUCCGAAUCCCUCACAGCUCCAAGUCCACUAUGGUUGAGGGUUACCUGCAUGGAUAAAAUUAAGGGGUGAGUUUGGGAAAACUCAGGGUGUAAAAUAGCCCAACCAUAUCCAGAUUAGUUCAAACCACAGAAAUAGAUUAAGUUGGGCCUUAGCCCUAGAAUUCAGAAUGUAGCCCAUAGGCCCAUAGCAGAAACAAAACAGAUAUCAUGUAUGCAGAAAACCCAACCCAUAUCCAUCCGUAUACACCCCCGUGCCAACCUUACACCAUGUGGGGAGACUACUCGACCCACCCAUCCUUCUACACAUCACAAGUUUGCAGCAUGGCUGCCAGAACAGAUAUUGUGACAGAGUCACCAGAUACAGAUAAUUGUGGCAGGGCCACCAGAAACAGAUAUUUGUGGCAGGGCCACCAAAUCAGAUAUUUGUGGCAUAGCCAUCAGAAUGCUUCCUCCAUCAAUAUAACCCAUAUCCCAUGCAACAGAUAUACAUGUCAUGGCAUACAACAAGCAGAAUCAGAAUAUCAUGCAUUUCAGUCAAAAUUAACCCUAAGGGUACAACAGUCAUUUUGCACCUAGGGGUAUAAUGGUAAUUUUUAUACUUAGGGGUUUUUUUAGUAAAUUUACCUAUUUUAGGGUUUACAUACAUAGUACAGCCAUUAACGCAUCAACAGAAACACUUAUCGAGUGUUCUUACCAAAUUGGGCCCGUUGGCCCAUUAACCCGUUUUCGGCCCAUUAAGCCCAAAUAUACCGAAGUGCAUGAAAUUACGCACUCUGCAAUCAUAUCACUUGAGAUUAUCAGAAUUAACAAUCCAAACCAUCUCACGAGCGCUCGUACGUUUACAAGUCCCCAAAAUGCUUACUUUUCGGCAUUUCGACUUUUCGGCUUUUGCUAAUCUAGUCUAUGAGUGAGUGUCGUUUACACACCUGUUUGCGACGAAACGCUGACGAGUUCUACACACACCAGUUGCCUACAGUCAGUUACCAAUACAUUAACUAUGAAUCCAUAACAACUUGUAUACAAAACUCCUUACCCAAGAGUCGGCCAUUAACAUUUUAGGCACUAGAGAUCCUACCUUUUUUCCGAAUCUAGCGACUAGGUUUAGAUCCAAUCAUUCCACUUGUCUAAGCCUCCGAUCAGUAGCCUCUAGAUCAUACUAUCAUCACAAUAAAACAACUCCCUAAGCCUUUAGGGGUUUCGGCUUUUCUAAAACCCGAAAUAAAGAAUAGAUUCAAAAACUUACCACCGAUUCCUUCAGUCAACGAUUCCACUUAGUUCCUAUUCGAUUCUGAUGCAGAUCUAACCCCUCGAAUGUUAGUCAGAAAAAAAAUCUUUAAAGGUCUAAAGAUUCGGCUAUACCCCUAAGACUAUGGGGUUUUCGGCUUUUUGAAUAGUGAAGAGAAAGAUGAAAUAUGAGGGUUUUAUAGUGGUUUUGUCGACAGGAAUUUGGGGUUCAGAGGAUGAGAGAAUCGGCCAAAAAGAUGGAGAAGAAACAGAGGCUUUGGCGAGGAGAAAUCGGCACAGAAGAAAAAUAGGCUUUCGGGAUUUCGGCUUCUAUGGCAAUCGGCUAUAAGGCUUAGAAACAAAUGGUAAGGAAAUGGAGCUGAGUAGAAUGGUAGAAAAAUUCAGCUAUAGAGGAAAAGAAGAAGAAGAGGAAAUAGAUGAAGAGAGGAGAAAAGAAGAAGAGAAAAGAAUUGUCAGAAACGGCACAACUUUUCCCCAAAUGCAGAAAUUACAACUAUCAAAAGGCCUAGCCGAAUUUUUCCCUCUACAGUAACCCUUGGCCGGCCAACUCUUGCUUCCUGAUCAGCUCAUAAAUUUCCUCCCUUAUCUUAUCCUUACUCAAUCCCCUUACCAGCUUAAACUCUCCCUAAUAGAGUUCCCCCUUGAGUUCCAUCGCAUCCCCUUUUUGUUCACAAAAAAUAAAUACCCUAAUUGCUUACCUUGUGGCUCGAACCUUGGCUCCUUCUAACCAUUCACACGCCACUCCCCCUAUACCUCAUGUGGCGCCACAACCACUAGACCACAAGCUUCCUUGUGUCACCUUUCCUCCUGAGAUAUUUAUAAGGCCCCCUUGCGGAAAUCCUUGGUUGUAAAAAAAACAACCAUUUGCACACGCCGUGCCUUGAACCCAGGAAACUCCCACGCCUUCCUAGCGUGCUUAGCCACUGGGCGAAGUGCUCCUUUAUGCUAAAACACAGCCCAAAUUAUUAAUUAAGCCUACUGCCCAGAUUCUCUUAAGAGGCAAAAUUUGAGAAUUCCCACAUUAUAAGCCCUUCGUUAUUUAUUUAAUUACUAAACUAACCUAAACAUAAUAAUAAUAAAAAUAAUAAUAACAAUAACGCCCAAAAUAUUCCGGCCAUCUUCUACCCGAACCCAGACUCAAGGCCCAAUACUUCUAGGCCCAAAAGUUGGGGCGUUACAAUUUUACUCCCCUUAAAGAAAUUUCGUCCUCGAAAUUUCAAACUACCAACUAACCGUAUUACUCAAGUCAAACCGCUAUGCUUUCGCUGCGCACUCUAAUUAAAAAUAAUUCUUAGAACGACCCAGAACAUCUAAUUACAAAAGUAAAGAAACAUUUAUCUAGCACGCAUACAAUUUGUAACUCAUACUUAAAUAGAAUGAGCUUGGCAAUCCCGAGCUCGAUGCUCCUUCGACCCACAUCUAAAGCAUGCUUCUGUCUUCCUAUGGCAUUCUCCCGGAUGACGCCCGUUGCAGUCCUUGCAGGUUCGAAAGUUUGGUCGUGUCUUAACAUGUUUCACAGGACGAGGCUUAGUCUUCUGAAAACUAGAAUCCUUCCUCUUCUUACACUCAAAGCACCCUGCUUGAAACGUUUCCCUAAUUUCCUUAACCUUGGUCUCCAAUACCUCUUUUACCAUUUUCCUUACCAACUCGGCCAGUGCCUCAGUCCCAAUCUCCGAGUUACUGCUACCCGAAGUUGGCUGACUUCGCUUACCCUCAGAAUCCAUAUCAACACUCUACAUUAUCAGCAUGCAUAACAAUAACUACCAAGAUCUCGAUUCAAAAAAAAAUAGUACUUAUUCAUAUGUUUUAUGCAGAGAUAGUAUCUUAAAGUUUCUAUUUACACAGAAUCAUGGCCUAGCUAUAGUCUUAGUCUACUUAUCAAAAUUCCUACAGUUCCAAUAUCACCCUAACUGGAGUAUUAUAAGAUUUCAGUAUAGGCAUAGAGCUGAUAAUUCAGAAACAUUCAGAAAAAUUCAAAAUAAUACUUAAAGACUUGGGCCGGAGAUUCGGUGUGCCAUCUCUUCGGUUAUCAAUUUUUAGAAUCCCCAAAAAUUUAAACCAUUUUCAGUUUAAACCUUAAAACAUGUACACCUUAUAAAAUAUCUUUGAAAAGAACUUUUCAAAAUCGUUUCCAAAAAUACCCUUCUUGGGCCUAAGUUUUUUGAAAAGAUUUUUCAGACCCGAUCCACAACCGAGUUGUUGCAACCGGACUCUGAUACCACUAAAUGUAACACCUCAAACCCGGCCCAGAUGUUACAAUCGAAUCUGGCGUGUCACAAUGAAGCAUUACUGUAAAACUCAUGUUUUAUCUAAAAUCUUUCUUAGUGUUUGAAGAAUAUUUUCGUUAUAGGUUAAAGUGAAUGGAAGCCGUGCACCAGGUAGGAUGCCGGAAAAGAGGAGGUGUCUAACACCCCUAUCCCGUAACUGUCACCGGAAUAGGACAAGGUGUUACCGAAAAUUAGAAAACAGAUCUUAACAGUAAAAUUUUGAACAUUCUCUUGAAAUAAAGAUUAUUUAUUUAAAUAAAUGCUAGACACAGCCAGAGAUCGAAUUUUCAAACUUAUAAAGUUAAACAUCCAAAAGAUGCCAUAUUCGCAUGGCUUAAAUACGUUAACCAAAAUAUCCUUCCACUAUUAGUCUAUUCUAUACAUGCCUUAAACCUUAAUGAUAUACAAACUUUAUCUACUCACAUGAUAACUCGAUAGUGUGAUGAAAUCUCCUCGACUUCCAACCCAAGCAAUUUCUCUGAAGCCCUAUAGACAUAGGAAAAACACACAGAGUAAGCUUUGAAAGCUUAGUAAGCCUUAAGCAAAUAAAUCAUUUCAAUGAUUAUGGAAAUUCCAUAUCACUAAUCCGAAUUGAAAAAAAAUAAUCUCAAUUACAUAUACAUUCAUAGUACUCUUAAGUUCAUAUAACCUUAUUAAGUAGCUUCACUUAUUUAUAUUUACAAAUAACUUAUGACUAUGAUUUUAAAUUCGUGUGAUAACCGUCAAUUCAUUCGUAUGAACAAAACUUGCACAUAUCCAUUACAUACCAACCAAAACAUGUCAUAUUUUUCCAUGUUUGAUUCAUGGAACCACAAGGUCACAUGUCAAGCACAUAUAGCAUAUAUUUAUCUGUUAUUUAUCACGUCUCAUUUUCACAUGGACUACAUACAUCUGACCAAGUUUAUUCAAUGUUCACAACAUAAUCACAUAACCACUACAAGCUGUCUUUCUGAGCAGCAGUCACUAAAUUAUUUAUAAUUGGAGCUACAAAACUCCAAAUCAUGUGCCGCUAAUUUUACCUAAAAAUAUACUCAUAUAUAUUAUAUCCCUAAAAUUUUCAGAAUUUUUGGUUUGACCAAUCAAUACCAGAUUUUUCUUAAAUUUCCCCUGUUUCACUAUUUGACUAAUCUGACCAUUCUUCACUAUAAAUCAGUUUUCUCAUUGUACAGAAUUCAAAAUAUGUUAUCGUUUAUUUCAUUUGAAACUAGACUCAUUAAGGAGUCUAAUAAUAUAAAUUUUAUCUUAUAAUCAUCAUUGUACAAUUUAAAAUGAUUUUCUAAAAACAGAACAGGGGAUUUUGAAGUCAUUUUGUCUCUAUCUCACGCCACUUCAAAUAUCUCAUUAUCUACAAUUAUUUUGCUUACAUGGUUUCUUUUAUAAGAAACUAGACUCAUUAAGCUUUAAUUACAUAAUUUAUUCAGCUUCUAAUUCAAUUUCAACAAUUUAUGGUGAUUUUCCAAAAUCACACUACUGUUGCUGUCCCAAGCAGAUUUAUUACAAAUUUGCUCUUUCACAUAUUCCUUGCAUUCAAAUUAUUUAAACAUGUAUAUCAUGUCAUUCAAGAUCGAACUCAUAUAACAUAGGCAUUAAAAAUGCUUCACUAUCAACUUUAGUUCAAUUGAAACGAAUAAAAUACAAUAUCAUAUUCACAUUUAAUUUUCCAUGAUCGUAAUCACCUAAAAAUAAAAUCAUAUACUUCCACAAACCUUUCCACAAGGACCAAGUGUUUAUAUUUGAAUAUAAACAUAGAAUCACUUCACAUAACUUCACACAUUUACCGAAUGUAUCACGAUCACAUUUAUAGUCAUAACACCUAUUCACAGAUGCAUCACUUUAUACAUUUAUAAUUUAAUUCAAAUCAAAAUCGCAUACGAGUACAUGAUACAUACCUGGCCAACUUAAUAUGUAAUACACUUUCAAUUUGUCAUCUUAGUGUAGGAUCUUGUAAUGGUAUACUUUUAUCAAAUUCAUCGGCACUUGGCCUGCUAGGUAUAAAACUCGAAAUUAUAUUACCAGCACAAAGCCUGCGGGACUUUAGCCCGAAUACAUUUCCAACACGAAGCCUGCGGGACUUUAGCCCGGAUACAUUUCCAGCACGAAGCCUGCGGGACUUUAGCCCGGAUACAUUUCCAGUGUCUUGAAUAUUUAUUCACAUGUUAACACAUUUCACAUAACAUAUCACAUUAGUAAUUCAAUUUCUUCAUUCGAAUAUAAGCACAAAAUGUACACCUACCCUUUAACUUUCGGUUCAAUAAUCAUACACAAAGAACACAUAAUCUUUUCACUAUCCCAGUUUCACUUUUAAUAACCAUUCGGCUAUAUGCCAUAUUCACAAAUUAUUUCACACACUACCUCGAUCAAGUAGGAACAAUAGUCACAAUUCAUCUAUUAUACAAAUAUCCCAUCCUUUGACUUUGUUUCAUAAUAGCUAUUCGGUCAUCACAUAUAUACCAUUCAAUUCACAUUCGACUUUAUACAAACAAGUACAAUAAAAUUGUAUACACAUAUUACACACUUUCACAUCAUUACUUAAUAGUUAUUCGGCCACAUUAUAUACAUAAAUCAUCCAUUUCAUAUUUGGCAUUAUAGCCUAAAUUCAAUAUACUUAAUGCAAAUCGAACUUGUAAAGGUCAAAUAAUUACUUACCAUAUUAUAUAAAAUCUUAAGCGCGCAGCAAAUCAAAUUUAAUUACUUAAGGACUUACCUUGAAUGUCAUUGCACAAUUACGGAUUGAUUAAUCAACUACUUUUGCUUUCCCCCUUUCCGAAUUUAGCUCCUUUUUCUCUUGAGCUUAAUUCAAACAAACAAAUAAACAUUUAUUCACCUUAAUCCAUCUCAUGAUCGAAUGCCUUUAAGCUUAAUAAUAAAAAUCCUUUAACAAAGUAACACUUAACCAAAACAAAUUCGAUUAUACAACUAUAUAAUUUAAAGCAUCAAUUAUGCUUAACUAAACGUUAAGCUAUAAUCAGAAUCACUCAGACAUAUUUAUGGUCAAACAUAGCAAGUGAUAAUACUCUUAAAUGACGUGUUUUUAUAUAUUAAUCAUGUGUUUAUUUUGAGCUUGAGCCUAUUAAUUUGAGCUAUUUAUGUCUUUUUAUCUUUUAGGGACUAAAUUGGAGGCGAAAAGUAAAUUCAAGGGAAAAAGCGUCAAUUUGGAGAUUAAAUGGGCCAAUAUGCAACGUGGGACAAAUAUGGUGCCAAAAGUGCGAACAUGGAAGGCACAAGGACUUAAAAGCAAAUAGAAGAGAUUUUAUUUUGGAAGACUCUAUUUUAUUUUAUUCUAUUAGGAUAAUUAAUAUUAAGAUAAUUAUUAGGAUUAUUCAAAUUUAGGAUUUUAUUUUAAUUAUCUUUGUUUAUCUUUAAUUAAAUGUAUUUAUCUUUUUAGAAUUUAAGUUUAAUUAGACUAUCUCCCUAGCACUAUAAAUAGGGGGUGAAGUGACUCUAUCCAGGGGGAUCUUUUUCUGUAAACACUCUCCCCCAAAAGUCUUUUGUUAUUUCAUAUUUCUUUUCAAUAAAAUUUCUUUUUCCAUAUUUUUAUUUAUUUGCUUUCCCUCCAUUAUCAUGAGGCACUAAAAAACCCUUCUAGCCAAAAGUUGUCAAUAUUUCCCCAAAAAGGGUUUUUGAGGCCUAGAAUCCGUUCUUAGCCUUCUCGCCAAGUAUUCAUCGUUUCUCCGCACUACGGGCUGACGCUUCCGUCCAUGGCCCUUAAGAAGUAAGCUUUUCAGCAUAUGCAAAGGCGGCCGCUUUGUAUGUUUUGGAAGGACUGCAUAGUCGGUUCGUUAACUUACUGCGUCAGAGGUUGGCGAGCCAAAGAGACAAAAUGGCGUGGGAUUCACCAUUGAGAAGCGUUGAUCUAGCAUAGAUUACUGGCUAGAGUCAGGUUCCCUAAAAAUCGUAAAUCUAAUCUUUGGAGCUGGUGGUCGUAGACGUCCUCUUCCACUAUAACUGGCUUACUUGAGUCGAGAAGGAUCAUCCAAAAGCCAAGGAUUGAGCCCAAGGCGGAAUGAGACAACCGGAGGCUGGAACUUUCCCAUAAGAAUUUUUUUUCUCUUAAAACUCUCUUUAUUAUUUUUAUUAUUUUCAUAAUCAUAAUUUCAGUAAACUUUAAACUCUGUUUUUAUUUUAUUUUCGCUUCCAAAAUCAAUUCUUAAAUUCUGUUUUUUUAUUCUUUUUCCAGGAACACAGGUUUUCUUAGGCACGAUUCUGCCCAGGAUUUCGAAAGACAAGCAUUCGUAUAAUCCGGUCCCUAAGGAUUCGACCCUACUUCCCCUUUACUAUUUCUUUUUCAUUAUUUUACAGGGAAUAGGAUAUUUUUGGUGCUCUCAACGACCGCAUCAAAUUUUGGCACCGUUGCCUGGGAUCGGCAACAUACUAAUCUUGUUUUUCUUUGUUUUCUAUGACCAGAUCUGCUCCAGGUACUCUUGCGUUCGACUCAGAAAUCGAAAAGACUGCGAAAGCUAAUCGAAAGGAAACAAAACUAAGGAAAAAACAGUCAGUGGUGGUUGGAACUCAAAGCAAUCCACGGCCAGAAAUUAGAAUCGACGAUGAAGUAGAGUCUAGGGUUAACGAAAACCCUACUCAAACGUUAGAAAGUAAAGAAGAAGAAGUCGAUUCCCCUGAAGAAGUGCUGAACACUAGGGUUGACGAAAACCCUAAUUUAACACCUCAACUUAUGGCUCAGACAAUUCGACAACUGGCCGAAGCGCCGACAGAACAACCGCCACUAUGCAUCGCGUAUCCUACUAUGGAUACUGAUUUUGAAUUAAAGUCAGGCUUGAUUCAGCUACUGCCAACUUUCCGUGGGUUACAAAAUGAAAACCCCCAUAAGUAUUUAAAAUAAUUCCAUAUGGUUUGUUUGAGUAUGAAACCUCAGGGGAUAACUGAGGAUCAAAUUAAAUUGCGCGCUUUCCCUUUUUCCCUAGCAGAUUCAGCUAGGUAAUGGUUAUUUUAUUUACCUCCUGGAUCCAUUACAACUUGGGCUGAUCUAUCUCGUUUAUUUCUUAAUAGGUUUUUCCCUGCAUCACGAGCGGCUGAGUUAAGAAGAGAAAUCGUGGGCAUAAGGCAAAAAGAUGCAGAGACUCUAUACGACUAUUGGGAGCGAUUUAAGAAGUUGUGUGCAAGUUGCCCACAACACGGUAUAACAGAACAGUCUUUGCUCCAAUACUUUUAUGAAGGCUUGAAACCCAUAGAGAUGAAUAUGGUAGAUGCCGCGAGUGGAGGAGCGUUAGUUAACAUGACUCCACAACAAGCAAGAGACUUAAUCUCCACAAUGGCUGCGAAUUCCCAGCAAUUUCGAGCCAAUCCUGAACCCCCUAGAAGGGUUCACCAGCUAAGUAACUCUACCAUUGAAGAUAGACUUGAUAGACUUACUAAUAUUGUGAAUUCCCUUGUUACAGAAAAAUCGAAACCAGCCCGAGUAUGUGGAAUAUGUGCUACACCUGAACAUACGACUGAUGCGUGCCCUAGUCUGUGUGACGAUUCUAUGGCCCAUUUAGAUGCUGUGGAAAAUUUUCCUAGGCCACCACAAAGACGAUACGACCUUUACGCCAAUACCUACAACCCAGGAUGGAGGGACCACCCUAAUUUUAGUUAUGGGGCUAAUCCACGAUAUAACCAGCCAUACCAAAAUCGAGCCCCACAACAGUCGCAAGAUUCAGGUAAUUCUUUAGAAACUUUGGUCAAUAAAUUAGCAACUAAUGUCCUUGAUUUUCAACAGCAAACUCUCAAUUUCCAAAGAGAAAUGAAGGCUUUUCAGGAAAAAACUGAAGCAUCCAUAAGGGAGUUGACCACAUCAAUUGAGAAAUUAAACUCUCAAGGGAAACUGCCAUCACAAACAAAACCAAACCCGAGGCAGAAUGCGAAUGCAGUAACGUUACGAAGUGGAAAGAUCCUGGAACCAGUUCCUGGCAAGAAUCUUGGUCAAGAAAUCACCCAGGAAACGACGAACAGAUCCGAGCAAAACCCUCACUGCCGAAAAUCCAACCUCCAUUCCCAGGACGAUUAAAUCAGUGUCGAAAAAGUAAGGAAGACAAGGAGAUCCUCGAAACAUUCAGGAAUGUUGAGAUCAACUUACCACUGUUAGAUGCCAUUAGACAGAUUCCGCGGUAUGCCAAGUUCCUCAAAGAACUUUGCACCAACAAACGAAAACUAACAGGUAAUGAAAAGGUAAGUGUUGGUGAGAAUGUUUCCGCAGUUCUACAGCGAAAAAUGCCGGUUAAAUGCAAAGAUAGGGGUAUGUUCGCUAUUCCAUGCAAAAUUGGCCAUUUGGGAAUUAAGAAGGCUAUGUGUGAUCUAGAGGCCUCCAUAAAUGUAAUGCCUUAUUCUAUUUAUGAAUCACUUAAUGCGGGUUUUUUGACAAAGACAGGUGUUACCAUUCAGUUGGCAGACAGGUCUAUUGUGCAUCCCGAAGGGGUCCUCGAGGACGUAUUAGUCAAAGUCAAUGGGCUUAUCUUCCCUGCAGAUUUUUAUGUGAUAAAAAUGGAGGAGGAUAACACUCUUGGGUCUUCAGACAUCUUGUUGGGGCGACCUUUCCUUAGUACUGCGAAUACUAAGAUUGAUGUACGAAGCGGAACCCUCACGAUGGAGUUUGACGGGGAGAUUGUGAAGUUUAACGUUUAUGGCACUAUUAGUCACCCAAGUGAAGUCUUGGACGUAAACCGUGUCGACAUAAUUGACUCAUCAGUAGAAAAAACUUUUGAGUCAUCUUAUGGAGAUAAACCAAAACUAAUGUUUGAUGAUUUUGAAUCUGUUAAUAAAUUAUUGGCUCUCAUGAAUACUAAACUUCUACCUCCUGUUGUGCAGGCACCAGAUCUGAAAUUAAAUCCACUUCCUGAACAUCUCAAAUGCACAUUUUUGGAGAAUGAUGAGACCAUUGCCAACUUAAAAGGGAUCAGCCCCUUGGAGGAAAAUACGGAACCAAAGAAAGAGGCACAAGGACAAUUAAACCCAAAUAUGGUGGACGUGUUAAAAAAUGAGAAUUUCCAAGCUCAUAAGAACAAAAGAAUUCAGCUGGAACAGCCCCAAUACUAGUUGAGGCGUCAAGCUAGCGACGUUAAACAAGCGCUUGUUGGGAGGCAACCCAAUCUUUAUUUUUAUUUUUAUUUUUUUUAUUUAUUAUUUUCCUUUAUUUUCUUUUAUUAUUUAUUAUUUAUUAUUUUAUUUUAUUUUAGUUAAAUAUUAAUAAAUUUCUCUUCUUCCAUCUAGGUGAAAUGGAGCGGAAAUACGAAGAAAAAAAAAGACAGAAAGUGUGCACCAAAACAACCCUAUCCAUGGUACCAAACAGUUCUAUUCCAGCCCAAAAUGCCAUAUCCCUGCUGCCAAACAGUUCUAUUCCAGCCCAGAAUGUCAUAUCUCUGUAGCCAAACAGUCCUAUUUCAGCCUUAGAAUCCCCAAAACCUGUAGCCAAACACCCCUUUUCAGCAAAUAAAACCCCCAAACCUUGCAUUUUUUUCCCAAAAUUUCUCCAUAACCGCCGACUCCUUUCUCCUCUACCACCCACCGCCGAUUUCUUAGCCACCAUGGUGAGAACCCGAAGCUGAACCACCGUUGCCACGUCACCCAUCCAGUCUCCACCUCUUGUCGUUUCGCCAUCUUUUUCUCCACCGUGUGCGCCUACUGACGGUAACUACAUGGGGAGUUUUUCUAAACUUUUUUUUUCUCCACCUAUUUGUUUUCCUUUUACUUUCACAUCAAUGACUAUGUGUUUUAAGUGGGGGAGGCAUUCUUCGUUGUUAUUAUCUGCUAUUUUUGCUGUCAUAUUGUUGUUGCUGCUGUUUUGUGCUCGUUUCUGCCCAUUUAUUUUAAGAAUAUCCUGCCGCUUUUCAUGCCCAAGAUUUUACCAGGAAUUACCUACUGUUUGACCUACAAGCAUGAUUCUUACCUUCUAAGGAAGUUAUGAUUUUUCCCAUAAUUGAUGCCAUCUCCACUGUUUUAUUUUUAUUAGGCUAAAAAUAAUUGUGAUUAAUAGGGUUAAUUCUAUCUUGCUUUUCGUAAAAUUGAUCAAGUUUAAUAUAAAGUGAACACUUAAAAUGAUUGCAUGCUUAAUUAAUGUUCAUGGCUAUUAGGUGAUUAUUGAAACUUAUUUUUGACACUUAAAUUUUUUUCUUUCCUGAGUUCUCAAGAAUUUUAAAUAUCGUUUAAUUUUUAAUAAAUGUUUUCCAUGGUUAUGAGUACAGCUUAGAUCGUGACUGACUGAGUAACCGGGGUAGGGUGCUUGGGUUUUCAUUCUACUUCGCGUUAAAAGGUUGUGUGAUGUGACAAGUAAAACUCCGCUAGCCGAGGUUAUGAGUAUGGCUCAAAUCGUGACUGACUGAGUAACCGGGGUAGGGUGCUUGGGUUGUCAUUCUACUUAGCGUCAAAAGGUUGUGUGAUGUGUUGGGUAAAACUCCGCUAACCGGAAAUAAAUAAUUUUAGGAGUAUGUUGGGUUGAGUAACCGGGGUGGGGUGCUUGGGUUGUCAUUUCUCUUCGCGUCAAAAGGUUUAAUAUACUCCUAAGUAAAUAAAUAAUAAUAAAAUUUAAAAAAAAUCAAAAAAGGAAAAAAAAGAAGAAAAAAAUAAGUACUAAUAAAGUUGCACUUCGGGGACUAAAAGAGGAAAUAAUUAAGGUGUCUUAGUAGGUUUGGUAAUUUACCUAAAUAGCAUAACUCAAGUCGAUCUUAAUUUUUGUGUGAAAUAAUUGGAAUACUUUUUCUGUUUUACUUAAAGCAAGCUUAGAGGUCUCUUUAUUUUUCAUAUGCGUUUUUAACUAAUUUUUAUGAAACUUUGGAGUGGUAUUUCUUUUAUGGCAGAAUCUAGCUUUCACAGUCGAUAGGAACCAUACUUGAGGGCAAGCAUGGGCUAAGUAGGGGGAAUUUGAUAAUACUCUAAAAUGACGUGUUUUUAUAUAUUAAUCAUGUGUUUAUUUUGAGCUUGAGCCUAUUAAUUUGAGCUAUUUAUGUCUUUUUAUCUUUUAGGGGCUAAAUUGGAGGCGAAAAGUAAAUUCAAGGGAAAAAGCGUCAAUUUGGAGAUUAAAUGGGCCAAUAUGCAACGUGGGACAAAUAUGGUGCCAAAAGUGCGAACAUGGAAGGCACAAUGACUUAAAAGCAAAUAGAAGAGAUUUUAUUUUGGAAGACUCUAUUUUAUUUUAUUCUAUUAGGAUAAUUAAUAUUAAGAUAAUUAUUAGGAUUAUUCAAAUUUAGGAUUUUAUUUUAAUUAUCUUUGUUUAUCUUUAAUUAAAUGUAUUUAUCUUUUUAGAAUUUAAGUUUAAUUAGACUAUCUCCCUAGCACUAUAAAUAGGGGGUGAAGUGACUCUAUCCAGGGGGAUCUUUUUCUGUAAACACUCUCCCUCAAAAGUCUUUUGUUAUUUCAUAUUUCUUUUCAAUAAAAUUUCUUUUUCCAUAUUUUUAUUUAUUUGCUUUCCCUCCAUUAUCACGAGGCACUAAAAAACCCUUCUAGCCAAAAGUUGUCAAUAUUUCCCCAAAAAGGGUUCUUGAGGCCUAGAAUCCGUUCUUAGCCUUCUCGCCAAGUAUUCAUCGUUUCUCCGCACUACGGGCUGACGCUUCCGUCCAUGGCCCUUAAGAAGUAAGCUUUUCAGCAUAUGCAAAGGAGGCCGCUUUGUAUGUUUUGGAAGGACUGCAUAGUCGGUUCGUUAACUUACUGCGUCAGAGGUUGGCGAGCCAAAGAGACAAAAUGGCGUGGGAUUCACCAUUGAGAAGCGUUGAUCUAGCAUCGAUUACUGGCUAGAGUCAGGUUCCCUAAAAAUCGUAAAUCUAAUCUUUGGAGCUGGUAGUCGUAGGCGUCCUCUUCCACUAUAACUGGCUUACUUGAGUCGAGAAGGAUCAUCCAAAAGCCAAGGGUUGAGCCCAAGGCGGAAUGAGACAACCGGAGGCUGGAACUUUCCCAUAAGAAUUUCUUUUCUCUUAAAACUCUCUUUAUUAUUUUUAUUAUUUUCGUAAUCAUAAUUUCAGUAAACUUUAAAUUCUGUUUUUAUUUUAUUUUCGCUUCCAAAAUCAAUUCUUAAAUUCUGUUUUUUUAUUUUUUUUUCCAGGAACGCAGGUUUUCUUGGGCACGAUUCUGCCCAGGAUUUCGAGAGACAAGCAUUCGUAUAAUCCGAUCCCUAAGGAUUCGACCCUACUUCCCCUUUACUAUUUCUUUUUCAUUAUUUUACAGGGAAUAGGAUAUUUUUGGUGCUCUCAACGACCGCAUCAGCAAGAAAACUAAAUAGGCUUUACUAGCCACACUUAGUUCAAUUAUAACAUAACUUCACUUACUUAUAAGCACAUUCGGCAACUUGAUAAUUAAGUUAAUAUCAUGGUAUCAUAACUCAACAUUUAUCAAUAUGUCAUUAGCAAAAUAUGCUCAUGUCAAAUUUACUCCCAAUCACAUCUCAAAAUUCAACAAGCUUAGAACUCAUUUAAUAAUUAAAUUCCAUUUCAAAGCAUCAAAACAUUAUCAAAUGUAUACUAAUCCUAAAUGACCGAAUGCACAUUAACUAAGCACUUAACAAUUUUCUUUAGCCAUUAAACUCAUUCGGCAAUGAUAAGGACAAAUUUAACAAACCUUAAAUUUAACUUAUAAUUGUACCUAUCUCAUUCAAAGCAUCCACACCAAUUUAUUAUCCAAUCAACCAUAGCCGAAAACCUAUCAUACAAUUAAAACCCUUGUUCAAAUUAUUAUUCACUAUAAUACUAUGGCCGAAUCCCUCAAUUAGCUAACAUAGCCUCUUGUAUUCAAUCUAAACACGUAUAUACAACCUAAAUUCCUCUUUUAACACAUAAUUCACUAUCUUGGAACUCAUUUUCUAACUAAUUUAACUUAGUCUAAAGCCGAAUGCUAUUUGAGCAUUAAGCUCAUGUUCUUUUCUUUAUUAAGCAAGUAUUAUAACUCAACUAACUUUAUUAGCCGACUACUCAAGCUCAUUUGAGCCACAUAUGGUAAUUUAGUUUGUUCAUACUCAAUUAGAAACAUUUCUCCUUACAAAUUAUCAAAACAUACACAAUGUAACCCAUUGAGCUCAUGACCGAAUGUUGCAUGCAUCACAAACACAAAAUCAUACACAUAGGUCAUGUUAGGAGCUCCAAAACCAAUUUAAAUUUCUCAAAAUCCAAAGAAAAACAUAUGAAAUCAUACCUUAAUUCCCAACAAAGAUGGCCGAAUGCCUUAGGUGUUCUUUCUUCCAUUUCUUGUUUAGUUUCGGCAAAAGGGGAGAAAAAAAUGAGAAACUUUGUUUUUAUCACCCUUUUUCUAUUAUUAAUUCAUGGUUUUCUAAUAUAAAACUAUUUAAUAUUAUUUCACUAAUAUACAAUACACAAAAUGCCAAAUUUUUCAUCAUCAUUACUGUCCACUAUAAUCAUAGUGGUCCUUUUGACAUGCAAGUCCUCUAUGAUGCUAUCCAUAUACAAUUUGGCCACUUCAACUUUUACCAAUCACAUUUUUAUGGUUUAUUAAUUGAGUUCCUUUUUAUAAUUUGACAUCCAAAUAACAAAAUUGAAGCAUCAAUUUUUUUAUUUUAAUUUAUUAUUUUUUUUUCACACAUGGAAAUUCACAUAAUAAAACAUAGAAAUUAAUUUAAUCCUUUCUUAUUAAUUAAACACCUAAACGAUCACAUUUUCGUACGAAAUCUUCACAUAUGCUAAUUCACAUAUAAUGAACACAGAUAAUAAUAUUUAAUUAUUUUUCUGACUCAGUUUCGUGGUUCCGAAACCACCAUUCCGAUUAGGGUCUAAAACGGGUUGUCAGAAGGUGAGUCUAUUAGACUACUUAAGUACCAAGCUCUCCACAGAUCCACUCCUAGACAUGUACACCACCAUUGCCACACUUUAACUGAGCGAUUGUGUAGAAGAAACCAUUUCGUUUUAAUCCAUUUGAAAUCACUUAUUAAUUUUCGAAAACAUUUUCGUUGCGGAAGCUUUGUCUUGCUUCGCGAUAUUUUGAGAUCAGGUAAUUUCUUUUAAAAACACAUCCUAGAGUUAUUCAAUUUCAAACAUUUAAAUCAACAUCAUGCUUAAGCUAACAAAACAUACUAAAAUAAUUAAAAAUAAUUAAAGCGGCCUUGUUACAAUUUAAACCCAAAAUAAUUAAAGUAAAUAAAAACUGAUUAAAUUAUAAGAAGAAAAUCAAGCUUGCAGUGCGUGUGGCCACUCCGAAUCCCUCACGGCUCCAUGUCCACUAUGGUUGAAGGUUACCUGCAUGGAUAAAAUUAAGGGGUGAAUUUGGGAAAACUCAGUGUGUAAAAUAGCCCAACCAUAGUCCAGAUCAAUUCAAACCACAAAAAUAGAUUAAGUUGGGCCUUAGCCCUAUACAGAAUUUAGAAUACAGCCUAUAGGCCAAUAGCAGAAACAAAACAGAUAUCAUGUAUGUAGAAAACCCAACCCAUAUCCAUCUGUAUACACCCCUGUGCCAACCUUACACCAUGUGGGGAGACUACUCGACCCACCCAUCCUUCUACACGUCACAAGUUUGUAGCAUGGCUGCCAGAACAGAUAUUGUGACAGAGUCACCAGAUACAGAUAAUUGUGGCAGGGCCACCAGAAAUAGAUAUUUGUCGCAGGGCCACCAGAUCAGAUAUUUGUGGCAUAGCCACCAGAAUGCUUCCUCCAUCAAUAUAACCCAUAUCCCAUGCAACAGAUAUACAUGUCAUGGCAUACAACAAGCAGAAUCAGAAUAUCAUGCAUUUCAGUCAAAAUUAACCCUAGGGGUACAACGGUCAUUUUGCACCUAGAGGUAUAAUGGUAAUUUUUAUACUUAGGGGUGUUUUAGUAAAUUUACCUAUUUUAGGGUUUACAAACAUAGUACAGCCAUUAACGCAUCAACAGAAACACUUAUCGAGUGUUCUUACCGAAUUGGGCCCGUUGGCCUAUUAACCCGUUUUCGGCCCAUUAAGUCUAAAUAUAUCGAAGUGCACGAAAUUAUGCACUCUGCAAUCAUAGCACUUGAUAUUACUAGAAUUAACAAUCCAAACCAUCUCACGAGUGCUCGCACGCUCGCAAGUCCCCAAAAUGCCUCCUUUUCGGCAUUUCGACUUUUCAGCUUUUGCCGAUCUAGUCUAUAAGUGAGUGUCGUUUACACACCUGUUUGCGACGAAACGCUAACGAGUUCUACACACACCAGUUGCCUACAGUUAGUUACAAAUACAUUAACUAUGAAUCCAUAACAACUUGUAUACAAAACUCCUUACCCAUGAGUCGACCAUUAACACUUUAGGCACUAGAGAUCCUACCUUUUUCCGAAUCUAGCGACUAGGUUUAGAUCCAAUCGUUCCACUUGUCCAAGCCUCUAAUCAGCAGCCUCUACAUCACACUAUCAUCACAAUAAAACAAUUGUCGUAACGCUAAGCGCCAUAGGGCCCAAUUGACAGCCUCCCUAAGCCUUUAGGGGUUUCGGCUUUUCUAAAACCCGAAAUAAAGAAUAGAUUCAAAAAAUUACCACCGGUUCCUUCAGUCAACGAUUCCUCUUAGUUCCUAUUCGAUUCUGAUGCAGAUAUAACCCCUCGAAUGUUAGCAGAAAACAAAUCUUUAAAGGUCUAAAGAUUCGGCUAUGUCCCUAAGACUAUGGGGUUUUCGGCUUUUUAAAAUAGUGAAGAGAAAUAUGAAAUAUGAGGGUUUUGCAGUGGUUUUGUUUACAGGACUUUGGGGUUCAAAAGAUGAGAGAAUCAACCAAAAAGAUGGAGAAAAAACAAAGGCUUUGGCUACGAGAAAUCAGCACAAAAGAAAAACAGGCUUUCGAGAUUUCGGCUUCUAUAGCAAUCGGCUAUAAGGCUUAGAAACAAAUGGUAAGGAAAUGGAGUUGAGUAGAAUGGUAGAAAGAUUCGGCUAUAGUGGAAAAGAAGAAGAAGAGGAAAUAGAUGAAGAGUGGAGAAAAGAAUUGUAAGAAACGGCACAACUUUUCCCCAAAUGCCGAAAUUACAACUAUCAAAAGGCCUAGUCGAAUUUUGCCCUCUACAAUAACCCUUGGCUGGCCAACUCUUGCUCCCUGAUCUGCUCCUAAAUUUCCUCCCUUAUCUUAUCCUUACUCAAUCCCCUUACCAGCUUAAACUCUCCCUAACAGAGUUCCCCCUUGAGUUCUAUCACAUCCACUUUUUGUUCACAAAAAAUGAAUACCCUAAUUGCUUACCUUGUGGCUCGAACCUUGGCUCCUUCUAACCAUCCACACGCCACUCCCCCUAUACCUCAUGUGGUGCCACAACCACUAGACCACAAGCUUCCAUGUGUCACCUUUCCUCUCAAGAUAUUUAUAAGGCCCCCUUGCGGAAAUCCUUGGUUGUUAAAAAAACAACCAUUUGCGCACGCCGUGCCUUGAACCCAGGCACCUCCCACGCCUUCUUAGCAUGCUUAGCCACUGAGGCAAGUGCUCCUUUAUGCUAAAACGCAGCCCAAAUUAUUAAUAAAGCCUAUUGCCCAGAUUCUCUUAAGAGGUAAAAUUUGAGAAUUCCCACACUAUAAGCCCUUCGUUAUCUAUUUAAUUACUAAACUAACCUAAACAUAAUAAUAAUAAAAAUAAUAAUAACAAUAAAGAAGUUAUCCAACUUAUUAAUUAAGGUUAGAGGGGAAGACAUAAGUUUUUCUUUUGACAAAAUUUGGAAGUUAAAGGUAUCACCGAGAGUGCGAAGUUUUCUAUAGAUGCUUGCUAUUGAUAGAAUUCCUACAAAGGAAUUUCUUAUUAAAAGAAGGGUGCAGUGAUGGUUCACUAAACUAACUAAAAAUUUAACUUAAGGCAAGCGCACCUAUCGAACAGCAGUAUAGUUAUGGUGAGACCGGAAAUAUCGUAUCCAGGAGGAAUAAAAGUACUAGUAAUUACCAUCUUUUUAUUAUCUAGCCUAAAAAUUAAGAGAAUGUUUAAUCUAAAACUAACUAUCUAAUUAACUAAGAUUGCAACAGAGAUUAAAGUUGGAAAAUGCUUUUGGAAAAACGAUGGAGAAGACAAUACCCAAGGAAGAAUCCACCUAUACUUCACUUAUUACCUUUGAAUUAGACGAUUUAUUCACUUGACUUAAUCUGUAGAAAUCUCUGAUUUAUGUUAAUAUCCCUUUCAAAACUAAAAACAACUGACUCUAGGUUGAUUAAUCGAAAUUUCUUUCUAAUUAAAACCCUUAUUGUCACAUUAACUCGAUUUAUGGAUUCCCUUAUUAGAUUUGACUCUAAUUUAGCAGAUUUAUGUUGUCCUAUCUCUAAGAUUGCAUUCAACUCCGCUUAAUUAUGAAUGAUCUACUCUUAAACAAGCACUUUUCCUCCACUGAAUAAGCACAUCAAAAACCUGAAUUAAUAUCCUGGAAUAUUAAAACAAGGGUGAAACUCACAAUUAAGAAUAAGAACAAGUAUCUAUCAUAUAAUUCAAAUAGCAAUAAGAUUCAUCUUAGGUUUUAUCUCCCUUAGGUAUUUAGGUAGUUUAGUUCAUAAUAAUAAUGGAAAACAUCUCAAGUUUGGAAAACAAAAAAACAUAAAGAAACCCAUAGAACUUCUAGGAAAUUGGAUGGAAAUCUUCAGUCUUGAUGUAGAUCCUGCCUCCGAGGUGAUUCCGAUGGUUGUCCUUGAUUAUUUCCUGCUUUCUACUCUGCGUCUCCCCUUUUAAUCCUCUUCUAGGGUGUUUAUAUAGGCUUUCGAAUGCCCAAAAUAGCCCAAAAUUAGCCUUUUUCUAGUAGAAUUAGACUUGGGCUCGACAGGGACACAACCGUGUGCCACGCCCGUAUGAAGGUGCUCAGGCUGUGUGUAAUUCUAACUUGGUUUAAUGUCGACACGACCAUAAUACACGGGCGUGUGAAACACCCAUGUGGAAGUGCCUAGGCCGUGUGAAAUAUUGAUUUAGGCCCAAUUUGUUCAUUUUUGGCCCGUUUCUCGCUCUUUUUGCUACCCUAAGCUUUCCUGGGUAUAAAACAUGAAAUUAAGGGAUUAGGAGCAUCAAAUUCAAUGAAACCAAAGAAAAAUCAUCCAUAAAUAUGCCAAGCAUGGGGUAAAAAUAUGUAUAUAUUAUAGUUUAUCAUGCAGUUUCAAUACAUUUCGAUCAAAUGUCCAUAAUGUGAAAGAGUACCAGAGAGAGCAGAUCAUCUAUUCUUCAAAUGCAAAUAUAUUGGAUGGUUCUGGUAUAAAUUUUUCAAAUGGUAGGAGGUUGAAUGGAAAUCGGUAGAAGGAUUGGCUAAAUUUUAUUCUUUGUGUUCUAAUGUGAAAUUGUUAGGAGUCCAAAGAAGUUUAUGGUUGUUAUCGAUUUUGGCAGCUUGUUGAUCAGUGUGGAUAGCAAGAAAUGAAAUUGUCUUUGAAAGAAAGGUGAUAAUUAUGGAAGCUUUGAUAUUUCAAUCCAAUAUGAGGGCAAUCUUACGGAUAAGGGUUGUAUAUGAUGUGUUAAUGGUGCAGGAGAGCUCUUGGUGGAUUUUUUUGAACGUGUAGAUUUGAUACAAUUAAACCAAAUCCUCUUCGUUGAUAUGGCACCCUUCUCCGCGAGGCUAUCUGAAUUUCAAUGUAUGCGGGAUAACAAAUGAGGAAGUUGCAGGUUAUGGGAGAGUACUAAGAGGUAUGGAGGGUGUUGCAAUAGCUUUAUUUUUUGGUCCUAUUACAGCUAAUGAUGCAGAUUCAACAGAGGUAGAGGCAGUGUUUAUAGCAUUGGAUUUGUUCUUAUCCAUGGGAUGGAAAAUUAAUAGCUCUCUUAUUGUAGAAAUUAGUUCAGAAAUGGUGUACAAUUGGUGUCUGAACAAGGAUAUGAGACCAUGGUCGUUACAAACAACAUUUUCAUAUAUUGAGAGGAAAAUUGAGCAGGUUGGUAGUGUAGUAUUCUCAAUGACAGAUCAAAAAGGUAAUGAAGUGGCUUCUACCUUGGCGAUAGCAGGUGUUAAUCGUGGUGACAUGUUUAAAGCUUGUUAGUGAGUACUAGCUUUGAUGUCGAAUAUUAGUUUUCAAUUGUAGGAAAUGUUUCAUUGUGGUAUUUUGUAAGUAAUUCCUUUGAAUGUUGUUCUUGUUGUAUUUACAACAGAUAAGUUUGAAUGAAGCAAAAAAAAAAGUUGGUGGGUACCGUGCGCCCCCUCUCUUCAUGCCUUACUGUCUAUGUAAUAAUAAUAAUAAUAAUAAUAAUAGACAAGCUUAAGAAUAUAAGAAGUCUUUACUCAUUCCCUAAGAUAAAAUUUAAUCCUCAUUAAUAUCUUAAAGAGAAAUCUUUCUAAAUAAAAAUAGUAAUAAAAAAUAAAAUAAUCCUAAAUUUUAAAUGUCUUGUAUGUCAACUUCUCAAUCCAACGAUAAAUUUACUUUUUUUAUAUUGUACUCUAACACUUCGAACAUACGUUAUAUUUAUAUAGGAAAUAGUCAAUAAAGUACCAAAGUAGUAGCAUCCAUGUCCAAAAUUAAUCAGAAUAAAUCAUUAAAAAAUGUCUAUUAAGAACAUUAUCAAAUCCCCCUUUAAUCAAUACUUGCCCUUAAACAUUUCAUGCAUUCAUCAUUUAAACAUAUCACAAUCAUCCAAGCUAAUUCAAUUUUCACAGUCUUCAGUUCAAUAAAAAAAUAAGCACUGUCAAAAUUUUGACCCUACAACUGUCUUCCUCAAGCAAGCACAUAGGUUAACAAUUUAUGAUAAGUGCUAAAAGUAACAUAUUUUAACCUCGUUCUGUAACAUUUUAGAAUUUAGGGUUAGAAGUUUUAAGGUUUUAGUGAGGGUCAGCCAGUAGGUCGAACAAUUGGGUUUAUUUUUGCGUUUUAAUAUCAAAAUGAGCUUGUUGGUUCGAUGGUAGAGUCUAUUACUAGUCUGCCUUGGUCUAGUGUUUGAAUCCUGAUAUGAGAAUAAAUGAAGUUUUGUUUUAAUUUUGUUUCUUUUUAGGUUAACUUAAUUUUAUUUAAUUUUAUUUAGAUUUUUUAUUUGAAAAAAAAUAGAAUAAAAUCCCAAAAAUUUAUAACGUUCUCCACUUUAUCUUUCACAUCAGUCUUUCUCCCUCUUCCAGUAAAGAAAAAUUAUAUAUUCUGAUUUUCUUUCUUUUCUUUAUUGGGUUUCAAUACUUUUGUAAACCGCUGCCUUAAAAUCCGGGUGGUGCUUUUCUACUUCGUUUGAUCAGACGUCGAAUCGGGUGAGUGUAGGGAUCAUUUUGUAUUUAGGUUUAUGCGGUUAAUUCUUGGUAAUUUGAUAUAAGGUUUAGGUCGAAAUUGUUUAUAGCUUUAGUAUGUUUGCGGAACUAAGUUUCAGGUUAUUAGAGUAAAGGCAAAAUGAUCGGUUCUUGGUGCUCUGGAGCAUCAAUCAAAUGUGUUCUAAAACUGUUUAAUUUUGGUAUUGAAUUGCUGUUGGAUUCUAUGGAAUUCAACAGUUUCUAGUGUGUUUAUGAAAUUGUGUGAAUUUGGUAACGAAUUACUAUUGGAUUUUGGGGAAAUUUGUAAAAUUCUGAUGUGUCUUGAAUGGUUAGCGAUUGGGGUUCAUUUUGCUAUUGCGAAAUUGCGAUUUCAGCUUAUUUCGAUGUGGUUUCGUGACCACACGGGUGGCCACACGGGCGUGUGCCGCACACGAGUAGUCCACACGGUUGUGUAACAUUGGGAAUUAGGGAUUUUAGAUGUUUUUCAAUGCCACAUGGUCGUAUAGCAGCUAUUUGGGGAUUUUUGUCAUUUUUCACACAGACGUGUGCCCUAAACACAAGGUCGUGUCCCUUAGCCACACUGGCAUGUGAGAUUCCCACACAGCUGUGUCUACUCUGCUCCUUAUUUUGACACUUUUGGAUAGUGAGUUACACGGAUUAUUCACACAGCUAUGUAACUCGAUCACGCGGGCGUGUGUCUCCUCCACACGAGCGUGUGCAGCUUGUACACAGACGUGUAGACCACUAUACGGCUUAGUAGACCUCCACAUAGCCUAGGCACUCCCACACGGCCGAGGCACAUAGCCUUGUGGCCCUAUUUUGUAAUUUUUUAUUCUGCGUUGAAAUUUGGCUCAUUUUGUGUUUCUGUAUGUUUCAACCCUCAGUUAAGCCUUGGUAAUCAAUUAUGAUAUGGAUUUAAGUGUGUAUAUGUGUGUUCAGUUUAGGUAAUCGAGAAAUGCAUUAAUAGGUUAUGAUAAAUGAGCUUGAAUUGCUUACUUGUUGUCGUAAUUUUGAAAUAUGUACAAACACUAUCGAUUUUGAAAUUGUUCGACUGAAUGUGAGUGACUGUCUCUAUGAGUCUGCUAGUGUAUGGUAUGCAUUUGCAUAAAAUCUAGGUUUUUGGUUGCAAAGAGAAGAAAGACUGAUUAGGCAGUUCAACUGUAAUAUUUCUGUACAGCGGUUUACCAAAUGAUUUAUACAUAUGUCAGCUCAGCUGCAUAUUGGUAUUCGAGUGGCUUAGUUCCAUAAUAUGUGGUGUGUAGGGUAGAUAGGCCUCUCAUGGUCCUAUAUGGUGUGCAGGAUGGACGGACUUGAUAUAGCUCAUAUGUGGUGUGCAGGGUGGUCGAAGUGGUGUUCGGAUGGUUGGGGUGGAUUUUUGACUCAUUACAUUCGCUACGCAUCUAAAUAUAUGUUUGUUAAUGUGAGCAUUGAGGUGUUGGCGAUAUGCCAAUUAUAACUUGAUGUGUUUUAUCUAAUAUGUGGUUUAGUAUGCUUUGAAAGCACCUUGUUAUUGGAUUACCGAUUGAGAUUUCCAUUUAUGAUUUGCGCUCAUAUACUAUUCUAGAAUAUUCGAUGUGUUACUCUAUUUUGUUGAUUGCUUUUAAUUUCAGACUUACACUGAGCUCGCGUAGCUCACCUCCCCUUAAUGUUUCAUUCUUUUAGGUACUUUUCAUGUUCAGAAGCUAGACUCGACAUGCCGGAGGUCUCGAACUAUCGAGUAAAUUAGUUCUGGUUCAAAUGACGCUACUUAAAAAAUUCAGUUGUUAUUUUCAAAUGGUUUGUAGGAAAGAUUAUAAAAACUUGGUAUGAGUUAAGUCUGGAUUUUCGAUCAACUAGUUGUUACGGUUUUAAACAAUUUAUAUGUUCCGUUAUAUCACGGGUUUCAAAAUUCUAGUUUGUGAAUGACAAAUUUAUGCUUUCAGAACUGUUAAAGAAUUCCAUAUGGUUUACUUCUGACUUGCGUGGAAUGCCAUUUAACCUUUGUUUCAAAAUUUAACUAAGUGUUAUCUAACUUUCUAAAGUUACAUGUUUGCGACAGAGUUUUUAUCUCGGCCACUUUGGAUGGCCAAUGUGACCCUCAGGAUUCAGUCUAAACUUUUAGGUCGAGUUUUAGGGUGUUACACGUUCUUAGUGUUUUUUGGGUGAUUAUUCGAUGUUAAUGGUGAACUUUAUGCUUUUAAUCUUCAAAUUCUUGUUUUUAUGUUUAAAAAGGCAUUUGAGAGCAAAAUAAGCUAAAAUUGGAGUAAGGUACAGGAGACACACGGGUUGACCCCUUCCACACUUCCUGGCAUUUAAAAUAAUCUACAAAUAUAACCUAUUCUGAAAUAAAAUUUAAACAGAUUCUAAAAAAAAUUUAAAUAGAUUCCCUAAAAAUUGCGUUUUUCCACAGUUCAGAGUGCAAUUCUACAAAAUUGGCACGACCCGCCACAUUGAAGCUGAUUCUGAAGUAAAUUUCUGUCAAUAUUGAAGACUCCCAGUUGAUUUCUUUAGAGAUUUAUGAUUUCUUUAUUUCUUUUGGUUAUAUUGUAUCUUGGAUGUUUUUAUUUUCAAGCAUGAACUAAUUUUCUAAAUACAGAAAGAGGUGAACCCUAGGAUGGAUUCAGUCAUUUGAUUUUUAUUUUGCACAAUAAAUACUUAGAUCUUAAUUCUUGAUAUACAUGUUUGAUGUGCUUAAAUCAGAGGAGGAAUAGACCCUGUUUAAGAGUAGAUCUUGUGUAAUUGAGUAGAGUUGCAUGCAAUCCUAGAAAUAGGACGACAUAAACCUACCAAAUUAAAGUCAAAUCUAAUAGGAGAAUCCAUAGCAUGAGUUAAUACGAUAAUAGGGAUUUUAAUUAGAAAGAAAUUUCAAUUAAUCAACCUAGAGUCAGUUCCUCUUACUCUCGAAAGAGAUAUUAGCAUAAUUUAAUGAUUUUUACAAAUCAAGUUACUAAGUAAAGAAAUUGCGUAAUUUAGACUGAUAACGACAGAUGAAACCUAGAUGAGUAUUGUUUCGCUUCUUAGUUGUUAAUCUUUUAUUUUUCUGAUUUAUUUUUUUGUCAUAUUCUUUAGUUAAUUAAUUUAGUUAAUUUUAAUUUUAAUCAAUCACUCAAAUUUAUCAGUUAAAUAAUAAAAAGACAGUAUUUAUUAGAGGUGAUCAUGGGUCGGGCUGGGCCGGGCUCAACUAAAAAUUUAGGCCCAUUCAUUGGGCUCGGCCCGGGCCGGGCCCAAAAAAUGGGCUUAAAAUUUUGCCCAAGCCCGACCCAAAUAAAAAUACUAAAACUCGGGCCCGACCUGGCCAUCCCGUAUUUAUUUUUAUAUUAUUUUAUAUAAUUUUUAAAUAUAUAUAAUACAUCAAAAAUACUAAAAAAAUAAAAAUAAAUAUUUUCCAAAAAAUUGAAAAUAAAUUUUUAAAAAUAUGUAGACUUAAAUAACACUAAGAUAGAUUCAACUUAACAAGCAAAUACCUCUAAAAUAAUAAUAAAAUUAACAAAUGCCUUUAAAAUAAUAACAAAAUUAAUAAUAAAAUAAGUUUUAUAUAAUAUCCAAAUAAUAACAGCAAAAUAGGAGCAACUAAUAAUAAUAUAGUAGCGAAAUAGGGAGAAAAUAACAUUCAAAAACAAAAAAAAAAUAGCAGAAUUUUUGUCAUUUAGUGAAUUCGGGCCAGGCUGGGCCAGGCCCGGGCCAAAAAUACCUUACCCGAGGCUCGACCCAUUUUUUAAACGGGCCUCAUUUUUUUGUCCAAGCCCAUUUUUUGGGCCUAUAUUUCUGCCCAAACCCUCCCACAUUUCGGGCGAGCCUUCGGGCUGGGCCCGGUAGCCCGACCCAUGAGCAGAUCUAGUAUUUACUAGUACUUUUAGUUUUUAUGGGAACGAUAUAUUUGCUCACUGUAACUAUAAUAUUAAUUGAUAGGUACACUUACCUUAGUCAAAUUUUUAGUUGUUCACGACGCAUCAAUUCAAUUAAGCAUACAAUUAUUAAAUUAUCUCAUAAUUAGGCUCCACAACAUUAACUUAUGUUAAAUUGUCAAGACACCAAAAUUAACAACCAUUUGUCCCAUAUUUUUGUGUUCAUUUUUUUCUUUUAUUUAAAAGGUUUAUCUAGUGUCACGAGAUCUUUUUACACGAAAAAGGAUGACAAUCCAAACACUCCAUUCCGAUUACUCAAUUCAUCACAUGUUUACUAGCUUUAGGCAAAAUUAUUAAGAUCAAUAGAAUAAGUGAAUAGCUUAGAAUGCCACUAAAUCUUUUAACAUGAAGACAAAUGGCAACCUAAACACUUGACUCCAGAUACUCAAUCAAUCAUAAUUCUAAGACUUUACUCAUAAUUUAGGCAAUUAGUGAGUAUUUAUUAAAUUAUUUUAUUCAUUAUUUUUUCAAUUUUUUUUUCUUUUGUUCGAAUACAAGAUGAAACAUGCUUUAACAGUAUCAAUCUCGUUAAAGAUUGUGUGAGCCUAAUCUUUUUUUUUUUGAGUGCUUCAAGCUGCUAAGUAAUUAAUAAUAAUUAUUAUUUACUUUAAAAUAAAAUAAAAUUCAUGUAAAAGAGUAGCAAUGGCAGAGUAUUGAAACAUGCGUAAAUUAAAAUCUUCUAUCAAUUUUUUAAUGGCUUAAAUAAUAAAAUGAUGUCUAAAUUAUAUUAGUUCUUUUAAAUUGGUAUUUAAAUUUUUCUUUGGUCAAAAUGGUACCUAAACAAUUAAUCUGUUAUCCAUUUAAUUCAGCCAAUCAUUUGCCACGUAAAAUAUCUAUUAUUUUUUCAAAAUAUUACUAAAAUUCGAUAAAUAAAAUUAAAAAUAGUUAAAAAAAUAAAACAUCAUAAAUUUAAUAAAAUUUAAACAUUAAGGGAAAACAUUUUACUGAUUGGAAAUACCCUUAAUCAGAUUUUCACAAACUCUUUUUUUUCAAAAAAUUUCAAAUCAUCUUUUUACAACCUUCAAUCCUUUGUGGAAUUGAUAGAAGGGUACCUUUGAAGAAUUACUUCUUUUUUUUUUUUACUAAAACCCUUGUUUGAUUGAAGAAAUUUUUUUUCUUGAAACCCUUGUUCGUCAAUUUCAUUGUUGAAACCUUUCUAAUUUCAUCAUUCUUUGAUUUUUAUUUUAGGUUAAUCGUAAAACUUCAAUUGAUUUGGGCAAACCGAAGGAGUUGUGAAAAGGUUGAAAGGUAUGAUUUAGACUUAAGUUAACACCAUUUGUUAAGGGUUCUUUCAUAGUUAAUAUAUAUGUAGAAUCUAAUGUAUGUAACUUUUGGCAGGUUGUGGGUUCUUGAAAUUUUAUAUUGAGAAGGUAGAACACACCUUUUUAAGAGGGAAGUUUCUUUGUUUGACUCGAGAUUAUUAGUCUGGUGACAAAAAGCCAAAAAAAUGUACCAUUUGCUUUGAAGUUAUUUAUGAAUAUGGUGUUUAUAUAUGUAUUUUGUUAAGAUACAUAAUGAUAAUACUAGAGUUAAUUUAUGAUAUGUUUUGAGAUGAUAGGAUUUACGAUUAUGUGAUUUAUUGUCCUUAGCUAAUUCAAAUAUAGAUUAAUGAGUUUGGUUUAAUUUUUUUAAAACAUAUCAUUAUAUAAGGCUGAUUUGAAGUUAAGAAAUCAUCUAAGGUCGUGCGAUUUUUGAAAUUAAAGUUUUAGUCUUGUGAUAGUUGUGUCGGACUAAGAUUUGAAGUUGCCAGAUGACGAAAGGAGUAAAAGAGCAGAUUGAGCCUAGGGAGACUCAUGGGAGGGAUAUGCUGUCGACUUUGAAAGGUCAGGUGAUUAAUCUUGAGGAAUCCAUAACUUGAGUUCUUGAACUCCAAAUAAGAAAAUUUAACAUGCAUUUCGAAACUAAGACAUCAAUAUUUUACCACUCGGACAAAAAAAUUAACCCAAAAAUACUUAAAUCCCUUCUAAAAUUAUAUUAUAAAUAAACUAAUUUUUCAAAUUUAAAAAUUGAGUAGUUCAAUAAACUUUGAAUUAAUAAAUUUUCCUUAUCCGUACACUUAUCACUUAUGUUGUCUCUACACUUCACAACAUGUUUUUAUUUUUGAGAUGUUGAUAUCUUCCAGAGCCUUUUAUGACCACACGAUAAUAGGUAAGAUAGGAUCCUACCUGACUUUUGGUUUAUCUGUUUUGAAGGGGAAAAUGGUUAUGUUUUAGAUAAGAAAAAUGAAUGCGUUGAUGAAGCUUCUAAUUCUUGCUCCAUGUUGUUUCUUCUUCAUAGCUUUAAUAAAGUUACUUUAUGAUUACCUAUGGAUACCUCUCCAUAUUCAGCAUAUGCUGAAUUCACAGGGGAUCAAAGGACCUCCUUACAGAUUCAUCCAUGGCAACAACAAGGAAGUUACCAAAAUGAAACAAAAAGCUUUAAGCAAAUCUGUGGGCUUGACAGAUGAUUUAUUUCCCAAAGUAGAGCCACAUUUUUACACCUGGACCAACAGAUAUGGUAAGAUCCAUGCCUGUUGUUUCACUAUGAUUUAUAACUUGUAGUUCUAAGAAAAAGUAGACCCUUUUCCUUUUCAUGUUAUUAGGGAAGAAUUUUGUUUAUUG